rnacentral:rRNA from 1 species
GAUGAACGCUAGCUACAGGCUUAACACAUGCAAGUCGAGGGGCAGCACAGAGAUAGCUUGCUAUCUUGGGUGGCGACCGGCGCACGGGUGAGUAACGCGUAUCCAACCUGCCCAUUACUCUGGGAUAGCCUUGCGAAAGUAAGAUUAAUACCGGAUGUUGUUAAAAAACCCGCAUGAGUUUUUAACCAAAGAUUUAUUGGUAAUGGAUGGGGAUGCGUGACAUUAGGUAGUAGGUGAGGUAACGGCUCACCUAGCCGACGAUGUCUAGGGGUUCUGAGAGGAAGGUCCCCCACACUGGAACUGAGACACGGUCCAGACUCCUACGGGAGGCAGCAGUGAGGAAUAUUGGUCAAUGGACGAGAGUCUGAACCAGCCAAGUAGCGUGCAGGAUGACGGCCCUCUGGGUUGUAAAACUGCUUUUUAGUUGGGAAUAAAAAGAGGGACGUGUCCCUAAUUGUAUGUACCAUC